AGAGUUUGAUCAUGGCUCAGAUUGAACGCUGGCGGCAUGCCUUACACAUGCAAGUCGAACGGUAACAGGUCUUCGGAUGCUGACGAGUGGCGAACGGGUGAGUAAUACAUCAGAACGUGCCCGAGAGUGGGGGAUAACGAAGCGAAAGCUUUGCUAAUACCGCAUACGAUCUCAGGAUGAAAGCAGGGGACCGCAAGGCCUUGCGCUCACGGAGCGGCCGAUGGCAGAUUAGGUAGUUGGUGGGAUAAAAGCUUACCAAGCCGACGAUCUGUAGCUGGUCUGAGAGGACGACCAGCCACACUGGGACUGAGACACGGCCCAGACUCCUACGGGAGGCAGCAGUGGGGAAUUUUGGACAAUGGGCGCAAGCCUGAUCCAGCCAUGCCGCGUGCAGGAUGAAGGCCUUCGGGUUGUAAACUGCUUUUGUACGGAACGAAAAGACUCUGGUUAAUACCUGGGGUCCAUGACGGUACCGUAAGAAUAAGCACCGGCUAACUACGUGCCAGCAGCCGCGGUAAUACGUAGGGUGCGAGCGUUAAUCGGAAUUACUGGGCGUAAAGCGUGCGCAGGCGGUUAUGUAAGACAGAUGUGAAAUCCCCGGGCUCAACCUGGGAACUGCAUUUGUGACUGCAUAGCUAGAGUACGGCAGAGGGGGAUGGAAUUCCGCGUGUAGCAGUGAAAUGCGUAGAUAUGCGGAGGAACACCGAUGGCGAAGGCAAUCCCCUGGG
rnacentral:rRNA from 1 species